CGAAAAUUGUGCUUAUGAAAGUUUAUAUAUAGCUGACACAGAUGUGUUAGUUGCUUACCAAUGUGAUUAGCCUGUUGUUUAUAUAAUAGCUGAUGUCUGCAUCAUGCCUUGUGUAUCCACAGGUGUCAAGUACCUUCAGUUAAGGAGUUUGUUCCAGAAGGACAAGAGGCAGAGGCUAUAGACACUGCGGUAACUGUUGAAACCCCUGUGGAGGAGUUCAAGUCCUCUUCACCUCUACAGGAGGAACCAGAGCCUGAAUCCGAACCUGAGCCUGAGGAGAUUCAUGAGGAGGAGGAGCCCAGGGACUCCAGUGAAGCCGAAGAAGAACCUGAGCCGAUCACUCAGCAACCUCAGUCCAUUACCAGCACCUCUGUUUCACAAACUGAUUCACCGGUGGAGAGUACAGCUCCUGAAGAGGAAAGCAGUGACCCUUCCAGAUGUG
rnacentral:lncRNA from 1 species